rnacentral:rRNA from 1 species
AGAACGAACGCUGGCGGCAUGCCUAAUACAUGCAAGUCGAACGAACUCUUCGGAGUUAGUGGCGCACGGGUGCGUAACGCGUGGGAAUCUGCCCUUGGGUUCGGAAUAACAGUUGGAAACGACUGCUAAUACCGGAUGAUGACGAAAGUCCAAAGAUUUAUCGCCCAGGGAUGAGCCCGCGUAGGAUUAGCUAGUUGGUGAGGUAAAGGCUCACCAAGGCGACGAUCCUUAGCUGGUCUGAGAGGAUGAUCAGCCACACUGGGACUGAGACACGGCCCAGACUCUACGGGAGCAGCGAGUAGGAAUAUGGACAAUGGGCAAAG